rnacentral:rRNA from 1 species
CCUACGGGAGGCUGCAGUGAGGAAUAUUGGUCAAUGGACGAGAGUCUGAACCAGCCAAGUAGCGUGAAGGAUGACUGCCCUAUGGGUUGUAACCUUCUUUUAUAAAGGAAUAAAACGAGGCACGUGUGCCUUUUUGCAUGUACUUUAUGAAUAAGGAUCGGCUAACCCCGUGCCAGCAGCCGGGGCAAUACGGAGGCUCCGAGCGUUAUCCGGAUUUUUUGGGUUGAAAGGGAGCGUAGAUGGGUUGUUAAGUCAGUUGUGAAAGUUUGGGGCUCAACCGUAAAAUUGCAAUUGAUACUGGCAGUCUUGAGUACAGUUGAGGUAGGCGGAAUUCGUGGUGUAGCGGUGAAAUGCUUAGAUAUCACGAAGAACCCCGAUUGCGAAGGCAGCUUACUAGACUGUGACUGACAUUGAUGCUCGAAAGUGUGGGUAUCAAACAGGAUUAGAUACCCGGGUAGUC